rnacentral:rRNA from 1 species
AAUGAACGCUGGCGGCGUGCUUUACACAUGCAAGUCGAGCGAGGCGGCCCGCAAGGGUCAGUCGAGCGGCGAACGGGUGAGUAACACGUGGAUUAUCUGCCCUGAGGUGGGGGAUAACCCGGGGAAACUCGGGCUAAUACCGCAUAACAACCGAGAGGUCAAAGGGGGCUCGCAAGGGCUCUCGCCAUAGGAGGAGUCCGCGUCCGAUUAGCUAGUUGGUAGGGUAAUGGCCUACCAAGGCGACGAUCGGUAGCCGGCCUGAGAGGGUGAUCGGCCACACUGGAACUGAGACACGGUCCAGACUCCUACGGGAGGCAGCAGUGGGGAAUUUUGCGCAAUGGCUAACGCCUGACGCAGCAACGCCGCGUGGAGGAUGAAGGUCUUUGGAUUGUAAACUCCUGUCAGCAGGGAAAAGCAACUUAGCCUAAUACGCUAGGGAGUUGAUUGUACCUGCAGAGGAAGCCCCGGCUAA